rnacentral:rRNA from 1 species
UGGGGAAUAUUGCACAAUGGGCGCAAGCCUGAUGCAGCCAUGCCGCGUGUGUGAAGAAGGCCUUCGGGUUGUAAAGCACUUUCAGCGGGGAGGAAGGCGAUAAGGUUAAUAACCUUGUCGAUUGACGUUACCCGCAGAAGAAGCACCGGCUAACUCCGUGCCAGCAGCCGCGGUAAUACGGAGGGUGCAAGCGUUAAUCGGAAUUACUGGGCGUAAAGCGCACGCAGGCGGUCUGUCAAGUCGGAUGUGAAAUCCCCGGGCUCAACCUGGAAACUGCAUUCGAAACUGGCAGGCUAGAGUCUUGUAGAGGGGGGUAGAAUUCCAGGUGUAGCGGUGAAAUGCGUAGAGAUCUGGAGGAAUACCGGUGGCGAAGGCGGCCCCCUGGACAAAGACUGACGCUCAGGUGCGAAAGCGUGGGGAGCAAACAGG